rnacentral:rRNA from 1 species
AUGGAAGGAAUCAAAUACGCAGUAUUUACAGAAAAAAGUCUUCGUUUAUUGGGAAAGAAUCAAUAUACUUUUAAUGUCGAAUCGGGAUUCACCAAGACAGAAAUAAAGCAUUGGGUCGAACUCUUCUUUGGUGUUAAGGUGGUAGCUGUGAAUAGCCAUCGACUACCUGGAAAAGUGAGUCUAAUUGUAUUGUUUUUUCUAAUUUCAUCUGUUUGA